rnacentral:lncRNA from 1 species
AUGUUUAAAUUGAACAACUUGCCUGAGCAAAUGCAGUAUAUGUUACCUGUUCUCAUGAGGAUUGCUGUUUACUUUUCAAGCUAUCUGAUUUUGCUGCAGAUGCUUCUUCGAAUCUGCCUGUGGAUGUGUUCAGCAGUUUCCUUUCCAGAAUAUUUCUUCUCUAGUCAAUCCUGUAGAUCUUUUCAAGGGCUAACUCAUUUCUGCAGUUGGAUUGCUCUGGCAGACACACUUUGUGGCAUCACAAAGAGGACACCCUGCCGUGUAGCUCUGUCCUACCAUCCUACCUCUGAGGCCACUCAGAAUGUUAUGGAGAGACCAGGACUCGAGAAGACAGGACCAUGCUAAUGUAGAGGUGUCGUUUCUGGAUCUGCACUAUAGAAAUGCUUUUCCACAAAUUUACUUGUAUGGGAGAGCAUGCUGUAGCCUGUUGUAUUGUACAAGCUGUUCUAGUGCAGAUCUUUGUUAUUUUGCUUAAAAAUUUCGCUGUAAAAAUUAACAUUCAGAGCUAGUUGCAGGAUCAAGACCACAGUCAGAUAUUCUUCAUAUGAAAGAUAGCAGAAAGUUGAGCUGCAGAGAAAUGCAGGUAUUGCUGGAGUACCGGGCAAAAUGUGGCAUUAAUCUGCAAGCAUCCAUACGUGCAGCAUGUUAAAAUGGAGAGACAUACAAACCAGGAAAAUCUCUGUUUUAUCUAAGAGCUGAGGUUGUCAGGAACGUAACUACCUGGUUAAGUAAUUUUCUCUAAGAAGCAAAUAUGUUUCCAACCCUUUUCUUUUUUUAUUUGAAGCAGGACUGUAGUUCAGACUUAGAACCAAAAUUCCCUGCGUUGUUAGCCAAAGAUGGCCACAAUAGCUUGUGGGUACAAACAUGAGACCAAAUACAGGGUCAUGAGGAAGACUUCUGCAAUUGAAUACCAUCUGUUGCACUAGCUAUUCCCAAUCUCCUCCAAAGCCAUUUCAGAUAAAUAUAUGGGUAAGAUGGCAUCCUUCCAUGAGUUGCAGGUAUUUCUCAGGGUUUCUUUGUUCUUCCCAGCCACCAGAAGUUUUCAGUGCUGCUGUCCUUGAGAGGAACUGGGGGACAAUGUCUCCAUUUCUGAAGUAAGAGUAUGGAAAAGUUGUAAAAGUGAAGAGGAGUCUUCCUGUUUAUUGCAUUCCUUGGUAUUUCGUGCAGUGCUGGGAAUACAGAUAUCUUAGAAUUUACAGUUUAAAAUGUCAAUAGCGGAGGUUUGCUUAACCUUUGUAGUUUCUCCCUAUGGAGAAAAAUUUGUAUUCUCUCUACGAAUAUGUGUGUGUGUGUCUGGGUGUGUGUGUGUGCAUGAGCACAUAUAUAUUAAAAUGCAUAUGUUUAUAAAAUACAUAUAUAGCACUUCCCUUAGUUUCAGAAUGUCAUUCCCUGUGGCCUUACCUCUAUUACACACAUCAUUCAUUAGAUUAUGAAAACCAUUAAUGUCAGGAAGCAGAACCAAAUGAAUUCACUAAGGGACCACCAUUAGCAUACCAAGUAGCUAUUUCUCAGCUAAAUAUUCCUGACAGCCCUCAUUACAUAUGACGGAUGGGCUUUAUAAGAGGUAGCAGUUCCAGAAGAAAAUAAAAUCUCAGCAUUCUACUACA